AGUGAUCCACCUGCCUCCACCUCCCAAAGUGUUGGGAUUACAGGCGUGAGCCACCGCGCCUGGCCAGAAAUUCACUGUUUUUAACGGAUUACUUUGCAGGCCACAUAGUACACAUCUACAGCUGGACCUGAGUCCAGGAACAAAACCAACAGCCCACAGCAGGAAGGGCGGCAAGGAGGGGCUCCUGAGGCCACAGCCCCCGCUGCUGCCGGCGGACAUCUUCACCCCCUAGGACUCCUGUGUCCCCUUGGUACCGGCUCUGGGGGUGAUGGUCACAAACAGGCACAUCUGCUCCCAAACCAUGGUGCAGAAGGGCUCCAGUGCUGGGUCUGAAGAGGAACCGGGAUUUCGUGCAGAAGCAGAGUAGCUACUAACGAGGAGAAAAGAAAAUCAUCACAGUCAAAGCAAGUUCAACAAAAACAGCAUUUUGCUGCUAACUUGCUCCAAGAAAACCUAAAAUCUUCAACUGGCUCAUUCGUCCUCCAGUACCUCUGAUGAAAAGGUAGACAGACUUUUCCACUAAUUAUUUCAGCCACUGUGAAAAUAUGAAAGCUGACCUGGGAGAGAAGAUACAUAAUAAAAACAAACAAAAAACCUCACGGCCAGCGCUGACUUUGUCAAGAAGAGGGACUCUGGACACACAAGGGGCACCUGGGGGUGCAUGCGCACAGAGGGAUGAUCACAGGAAGACACAGCAAGAAGGCAGCCACGUGCACGCCAGGGAGCGAGACCUCAGGAGGACCCAGCCCUGCCACACCUUGAUCUUGGACAAACAGCCUCCAGGACUGUGAGACCAUCAAUGUCUGUCGUCUAGACUGCCAGUUCUGUGGUGCUCUGUGAUGGCAGCCUGAGCUGACUCCUCCAGUCCCCAGGACCCUCCUGAUAGGUUUGUGAAACAGAUGCAUGGAACAAACAGAUUUCUGAAAAGAACCUCCAUCUAUCCAGGUUUCCUGGGAUUUCCCUAAUCACCAUCAAACAAACACUCUGUUACCAGCCCUGCUGGCAUCUCUGGAUGAACUCAAGAAACGGGAUCCUGCCUCUGAGUUUCCGCCCUCCACUGGUGUCACCGUCUCCUGUCCUGAGUUUCUCUCCCCGUUCAGCCAAAUCCUUCCCUUUCAGACUCGCUCUACCCCAGGUCAGAACCAACUGCCUAUGGUACACAAGCUCCCCUUCCUCUCACCUCAGAGGGCCUGGAGUCCACGCCUAAUUCCACAUCUAAUUCCUUCCUAAGCUGUGCCUCCUGACUCCAGCUCUGAGAACUAAUUCCAUUACACAUACACCCUCCAACCCUCCUCUGGACACAUACAUUUGUGAAAUGUAACUGGAUAGAACAAAAACACACAGGUCAUUUUGCUGCUGAAUUUUUAAGAGGGCUUUAUAUGGCAGUGUCUCAGAGAAAGGGGUAAACGCAGCAUUUCCCAAGUGCACUUGCCCCAGACAUUCUUUUCCCCUGGGGCUCAUAAACAAUCUCCCACAACAGGAAGAGAAGCUAUGGUCUGAGUUGCCCAUAGUCCCUUCCUUGCUACACUCAAGAUCUUAGAAGCAAAAGCCAAUCACAUACCUACAAUGCAUGGCCCACUGAGGCCAGCACCCUGCCAAGUAUUAUCGCCUGAAAGAGGGAUAGCAUUAGGAGAUAUACCUAAUGUAAAUGACGAGUUAA
rnacentral:lncRNA from 1 species